rnacentral:lncRNA from 1 species
GCCAGAUGGUGUGGAGUCUUGCAGGCCACGGUAAGAAUGUGUGGGUUUUGCAUUUUACUUAGAGUGAAAAGAGAAGAGAUUACAGAUUGUUGUGCAGAGAGGCAACAUGAUCUGAUUUAUAUUUUUUAAAAAUUUCUCUGUGGAGUAUAUAUUGGGGGAGGGGAGCAAGGGUAGAAGCAGGGAGAACUAUUAGGAGGCUAUUAUACUAGUCCAGUGAGGGAUGAUGAUGGCUGGAAUUACCAUGGCAGCAGUGGAAGUGGCAGAAGUGAGAAUUCUGAUUAUAUUGUAAAGAUGCUGUCCGCAGGGUUUGCUAGUGGACUGGGUGUGCAGCAAGAGAGAAAAGAGGGGACAACGAGAACUACAUCAACUAGGAGAGUGAGAAUGGUGAUGUCAUUCCUAAGAAGGGGAAGCCUACAAGAGGAGUUAGUUUGGCAGAAGGGAAAAUAAUCAAGAUUUGUUUUAGACAUGGGUCAGCUCUGCUUCACCCCUGCUUUUGUAUGGAGUUCCAUCUGGGGGGAUUUCGCCCCCUGUUCCAGUCCUGAGGCCUCCUGACCCUGACAUUGUGAUACACUCCACAGAGAUCUGUUUCUUACAUUAUUAUUAUUGGAAAUAAUUAUUGUAAUAUUAUUAUGUAAUAAAUUUAUAAGAAAAAAUCCCAACAGGAUUCAUUUUUACACUAAAAAUUGAAUAUUUUGACAUUUGUAUUUAAUAGAAGAAAUGCAAAUAGUUGUAAAUGUAUGAAAAGAUGUUCCCCAUCACUAGAAUGCAUUCAUUUAGUUCAUAUAGUGCUUAAUAUAUGUCAGGCACUGCUCUAAGCACCAGGCAUCAUUCUAAGUCUUUGCAAAUGUUAUCUCAAUU